CUGGCAGGCUGACCCUGAAGGGAUGAUACCAAAGGAGAUUAUCCCUUUGGGGUUGUAACAAAGAGUGUUCUAUACACAGGAUGUAUCUCAGGCGAAGGAUUUGGAGGAGGAGGAGGUUGUUGGAUGACCCAUCUCAGUGAUCAAGGGAAUGGCAAUUGCCCAAGUUGGAAUGCUGAAUAAUAACAUUUUAAGUCCGGGAUGCCUCACCCUUCCGAAGAGGAUUAUCUAGAUAACAGAAAAUA